rnacentral:rRNA from 1 species
AGACGUAGGAUGCAAGCGUUAUCCGGAAUCAUUGGGCGUAAAGAGUCCGUAGGUGGUAUGUUAAGUUGGAUGUUAAAUUUUUGAGCUCAACUCAAAAAAUGUGUCCAAAACUGGCAAACUGGAGACAGGUAGAGGCAAGUGGAAUUCUGCAUGUAGGGGUAAUAUCCGUAGAUAUGCAGAGGAACACCAAAAGCGAAGGCAGCUUGCUGGACCUGUUCUGACACUAAAGGACGAAAGCGUGGGGAGCAAACGGGAUUAGAAACCCGAGUAGUCC